GAAAAGAGAAACCCGGACUUAGACCAAUGCAAGAACAAAGUACUCGACUAAUCGACUAGUUUUGUCGUUUUUACGUCCGAGAGAAUCAAAGCUAACUCGGACUCAGGGAUCGUUAGGAAACGUCAUCACACUAUCGAUCAUCUCGAUGGUACUUUUGAAGCUUUGUAUAUAUGGUAUAUGGCAUGUAUAGGCUAGUGUCAUUUUGGUAUAUUUUGAGUCAUAAUAUUAACCAUGAGAUUUGGCUUGUAAAUGUUAAUGUGUAUGGCCAUUUAAGUUGGCUUGAAUUAUGUGUUUGAUAGAUGUUAUAUGUGAUGUAUAUAAGUUAUAAUGUGUUUUGGGAUGUUUGCCAUGGUUGUUAUGGCUAAGUGAUUAAUCAUUUGGAUAGUUAUUAGUUGAUGUAUUAAUGCUUGAGGAAUGGUAAAUUUUGGUAUGAUUUAUGGA